GGGGAUUGGUUCGAUUGCCGGAGAAAAUAGCUGCGUUCACAGAGAGAGCAGAGAGGAGGAGGGUGCAUGAUCCACAGUGGUGAUGGAGAAUUUUGAAGGGAAAAUUAUUCUGGAGUCUGUGAUAUUGAUUGCAGUGGUGGUGAUCAGCCUAACUAUCUACACCUUUAUUGCCGCAAGGAGAGGCCAUGAUUUCAACUUUUUGGGCCCAUUCUUGUUUGGAGCCUUGCUAAUUCUUAUUGCCUUUUCCCUGAUACAGGUUUAUGGCUGAUCCAUCUACACCUACACCACCACAAAGUACUUGAUAGAAAUCUUUGAAAAAGCUGCUAAAGAGGUCUAUUUAGCACCUUACUUGCAUUGAAGACAUUAGAAGGA